AAGGAAUAUUGGUCAAUGGACGCAAGUCUGAACCAGCCAUGCCGCGUGAAGGAUGACGGCCCUAUGGGUUGUAAACUUCUUUUGUACGGGAAAAAACCCCUGAUCGUGUAUCGGGGCUGAUGGUACCGUAAGAAUAAGCAUCGGCUAACUCCGUGCCAGCAGCCGCGGUAAUACGGAGGAUGCAAGCGUUAUCCGGAUUUAUUGGGUUUAAAGGGUGCGUAGGCGGGAUGAUAAGUCAGUGGUGAAAUCCUACAGCUUAACUGUAGAACUGCCAUUGAUACUGUCAACCUUGAGUACAUUUGAAGUGGGCGGAAUGUGUGGUGUAGCGGUGAAAUGCUUAGAUAUCACACAGAACACCGAUAGCGAAGGCAGCUCACUAAACUGUAACUGACGCUGAGGCACGAAAGCGUGGGGAGCAAAC
rnacentral:rRNA from 1 species